rnacentral:rRNA from 1 species
ACGAACGCUGGCGGCACGCUUAACACAUGCAAGUCGAACGAGAGAAGAGAAGCUUGCUUUUCUGAUCUAGUGGCGGACGGGUGAGUAACACGUGAGCAAUCUGCCUUUCAGAGGGGGAUACCGAUUGGAAACGAUCGUUAAUACCGCAUAAUAUAAUUGAACCGCAUGAUUUGAUUAUCAAAGAUUUAUCGCUGAAAGAUGAGCUCGCGUCUGAUUAGCUAGUUGGUAAGGUAACGGCUUACCAAGGCGACGAUCAGUAGCCGGACUGAGAGGUUGAUCGGCCACAUUGGGACUGAGACACGGCCCAGACUCCUACGGGAGGCAGCAGUGGGGAAUAUUGCACAAUGGAGGAAACUCUGAUGCAGCGAUGCCGCGUGAGGGAAGAAGGUUUUAGGAUUGUAAACCUCUGUCUUCAGGGACGAAAAAUGACGGUACCUGAGGAGGAAGCUCCGGCUAACUACGUGCCAGCAGCCGCGGUAAUACGUAGGGAGCGAGCGUUGUCCGGAAUUACUGGGUGUAAAGGGAGCGUAGGCGGGAUCGCAAGUCAGAUGUGAAAACUAUGGGCUUAACCCAUAAACUGCAUUUGAAACUGUGGUUCUUGAGUGAAGUAGAGGUAAGCGGAAUUCCUAGUGUAGCGGUGAAAUGCGUAGAUAUUAGGAGGAACAUCAGUGGCGAAGGCGGCUUACUGGGCUUUAACUGACGCUGAGGCUCGAAAGCGUGGGGAGCAAACAGGAUUAGAUACCCUGGUAGUCCACGCCGUAAACGAUGAUUACUAGGUGUGGGGGGACUGACCCCUUCCGUGCCGCAGCAAACGCAAUAAGUAAUCCACCUGGGGAGUACGACCGCAAGGUUGAAACUCAAAGGAAUUGACGGGGGCCCGCACAAGCAGUGGAGUAUGUGGUUUAAUUCGACGCAACGCGAAGAACCUUACCAAGGCUUGACAUAUACAGGAAUAACUAAGAAAUUAGUUAGCUCUUCGGAGUCUGUAUACAGGUGGUGCAUGGUUGUCGUCAGCUCGUGUCGUGAGAUGUUGGGUUAAGUCCCGCAACGAGCGCAACCCUUACUGUUAGUUGCUACGCAAGAGCACUCUAGCAGGACUGCCGUUGACAAAACGGAGGAAGGUGGGGAUGACGUCAAAUCAUCAUGCCCCUUAUGACCUGGGCCUCACACGUACUACAAUGGCUGUCAACAGAGGGAAGCAAAGCCGCGAGGUGGAGCAAACCCCUAAAAGCAGUCUUAGUUCGGAUUGUAGGCUGCAACCCGCCUACAUGAAGUCGGAAUUGCUAGUAAUCGCAGAUCAGCAUGCUGCGGUGAAUACGUUCCCGGGCCUUGUACACACCGCCCGUCACGCCAUGGGAGUCGGUAACACCCGAAGCCUGUAGUCUAACCGCAAGGAGGACGCAGUCGAAGGUGGGAUUGAUGACUGGGGUG